GAAUUGUUACUGUGAUGCAUAUGGGUUUCAGGACUCCUUUUCUCUGAACAACAGUCUGACUAGAAAAGCCAAAUGCAGUGGUUGUCUAAUUGUCAUUGGUAAAAAUACCAGAGGAAUGUUUGAAGAAAGCAGAUAUUGAUUUAAUGAGAUUUACAGAUAUCAACAGACACUUUGUACUGACGAAGAACACAUACAGCUGUUUUAAAAGAAAGCAUUUUCUUGCCUGAUAAACUUUAGGCUCACAAAAUUACCAUCAUAUUUUAGCCACUUUAUUUUAAUGGAGCUAAAUCACAUUUAGAGCAUUGAUAAUCUUUAAAGCAAAAUGCUUUCUCCAUCUUUUGUCAGCAAGUGCCCACACAUCCAUUCAAUAUAUGUUGGAAAAAUCGUUUUUGUCAAGAUAACAAUUUGUGUUUUGUUUACAACAAUGACAAGACAGUGACAAGCUUGGUUGCAGAGGCUGUCAUCAUUUAUAAAUUAAAGUAUAAUUCUUUCUCUCUUAAUGUGUCAGAAAAUGACAUUUUAAAAUGACUUAUUUGUUUUGAAAAAGUGGAAAGGCCUAAGAACAUUUCAUACUUUAUAGAUGUUUAGUUCUUCUAGUUCCUUUGAUACUUGCCCUUUAAAUGGUUUUUGUUUUGUGUCAGUCUUUCAAUUUCUUUUAUUUUCACAACAUCUCAUAUUUCACAGCUGUUUCUCUUUGAAACAUUUGUUAUUUAAGCUCGAGGUUUAGAUGGAAUUUAAGAUCUUAAACAGCAGCAGUUAUAAAAGCCUUUUGGACUGAUUAUGUUUUAAUUUAUUGAAAAGGAAACAAAAUGCACUCUCACUUAAUGGAUCCCAGUGUGGACUGUUAGACAUUUCUGAUGAGCAGCAGAGGUUUAUUUUACCUCAGAGUCUUUCAAAGUUCGUGACAUUUACAACAGCUUCUUUGGUAUUUACGUUGAAGGUUAGAAUGGUCAGUAAGACAGCUUUUGGUUUUCCAGUGAACCUUUGUUUCUUUCUAAUGAGGAGUUACUAAAAUAAAUACACAGUUGGCAUUGCAGGUUAAAUUUGAAAAGCAUAUUAAUAAAAUCCUGACUGUUUUUCCGACCUUCUUAGUGCAGGAUCCUCUGCUUGGAGUUACAAAAAUGACCAAAACGUUCAUCUGAUGUUUUAUAACUAAAUCCUCGCAGAAAUAACCCAUCUAUAGAACUAAUGAAGCAUCAGAGUAUGCAUUAAGUGUCAUAUGGUGUGUGAGGGAGAAAAGUUUCCUUAGUGCCAUGUCUUCUAGCCCUAAGCAUUCUUGGGGAAAACUUAUAAUUAACUGAAUGGAGAUAAAGUUCAGCUUAUUGCUAAACUGGUAUGUCUGCUGAUGGCUCACUAAGUAGAAGGCAGCUACAGACAGCACUGGCAUGUUAAUCAAAUAUUAAUAAGGAAUAUCGCAAAUGACAGUUUAAAUACUACUGUUGGCCAUCAGACAUGGGUUCAUCAAUUAGGAAGUAAGUGAAUACCCAAUUUCCUUAAUAUGGAGGGGUCACAUUGUCGUUUUAGUCUUAACCGUGCCUGUAUAAGGCGACUGGACUCAGGCAUGCAGGUAGGGAUUCAGCAAUAAAAAUGAAACUUGGAUGGAUAAAGCCAGAGGAAUCUUUCAAUGCAGUAGUCCAGGCAUACAGAAACUGGUGUAGUCCUUACAAUAUUAGCUUCCACCUAUUUCAUUUUUUUCUUUAAUCCUGUCAUUAUAUAGAUCAAUAUUUGUUUUAUGUUACAGUUAAAUAUCUUAAACUGAAAAUUUCUUCAUGGAAAUACGAGCAAUUCCGGUUUGUUCAGAUACUGAAAACAUCUUCUCAACUUGUCAGGUUCAGCAGGUGCCUACUGUGUUCAUGUAAAUAACACAUGGAAACACGACCACCCUCCCACCUAAAAAAAAUAAACUAAACAAAAAAUCCGGCAUUUAGCUUUAGCUUUUUUCUAUGCUGUCAAAGUUUUUGUUUCAUAGAAGCUCUAUAAAUGUUGCACAUGCAGCAGCUGCAUUAAAAAUUUAUAGUUUUUGCCAAAGAAAAUCAACAAUAUAGUUUUGAUAAAUCCACCAAUGUUGGUAACUGCUUCUCAUAGAUGUUUAGGUUUGAAAAGACACCUGAAAGACGGUCUCAAAUGUACAUUUUCUCUUAAGGUUUGCUGAUCCCAUUAUUUCCUUAGAUAAGUAAAGUUAUCCUAAAUUAAUUUUUAUUAAAUAAAAGCUAAUAAAAAUAUUUUGAUUGCUUUGCUAACCUUCCUUAAGUGGACAUAUGCUUACAUUGAGAAACAUUUGUUAUAACCAGCAUAUUAAGUUCAAAAGCUCAUGCCAAUCAGUAUAACAAUGUGGCCCCUAGGUUAUGGUCUUGAUGCAUGAGUAUUAUCAACAUUUCGUUUUGUUAGACGUUCUGGUUUUACAUAAAACCCACAUGCUAAAAAGUCUAACCUUGAUGAGAGGUCAUUUUCGGUACUAAUCUGCAAUUUAGCUGUAAUGUUCUACAUAAGCUUUGGGUUUAUAAUGCAAAUUCACAUACAAAUAAUUUGAGUUUGUUAUUAAAUAAUUAUUGCUUUUUUUCAAAAAUGUAAUCCAUUUUUACCCCCUUUAAAAAUUCCACAUCUCUUUCUUAUCAGUAAUGCAUUGGUGUAAAUCAUUAAUGAUAACUCUGAUUGGCUUCAGAGCGAAAAAGCAAAAGAUUAAUGCAGCUGCUCAGCAUGGAGAACCAUUCAGACCAGUGACACCAUCAAAUCUAUAAAAAAAAAGGAUUGUGAAUGAAAAUGAGAUCAAUGACAUGCAGAAAAGCAUUUGGAAAGGAAAAUUUUAUUUUUUGACAGGAUCGCUGCAAACUGUCCAGCUCAGUAAUUUUUAUAUUCCACAUAAUCUUCUCAGUGGGAUAUGGAUGAGUACUUUUUGAUUCACUCUGUGUGUAGAGGUUUUAUUAUAUCACCACAGUUUUACCACUGGGAGAACUUUUAAGCUGUGAUUCUGACUAUUUUACAACAAGCCAUUAAGUCAUUUAUGAAGCACUGUCUUUGGGCUGUUAGGUGGAACCACUUAAAUGAGUGCAUUACAGUAAUUAGUGUUAAAUUAACUCUGUAAAACACUGAAUAAAUAAAACUGUACUGGACUGAAUUGCUAGGAAGGUGAUUUUAGAGAAAGAAGUGAGAAUAAAAUCUCCCGAGAUAUGAAAACAACAUUAAAUGUGAAUAACACCAUAAGGCAUUCCUGAUAUUACCUUUAGAAAUGUGUUGCACAGACUCCUACAACUAUACCUAUGAAUCAUGCAACAUAAAAAUUAUUAUUGGAACUUCUGGUUUACAGCUUAAGCAAAUGUAGUUGUAAUGUCUGAAUUCAUUUAUUUGUAAUAUAAUGUAACAGCACAUUCUUCUGAGAUCAACAACUUCACUUUUGUAGUAGUUUAAGUGAACCAUCAACCGUUAUGACAGUAAAGGCACAGGAAAAAUACAACAGCUGAAAAAAUAAAACAACCAGAAAUUGCUGUAAUCAACCCCUCACUAAAAGAACAACGAGGAAAUGAACGAUUGUUUUGUCUGAUCAUUUUCACCUGUGUUAAGCACCCUGUUUUAUCUUCUGAGCCUUAUAGAAUUACUAUGUAAAUUAACCACAGGAAAAAUGUUUAAAAUAAGUACUUUAUCCCAAGAGCUAUUGUGAUUGAUAUGAAUAUUAAGCAUCUUCAUUUAAUUGUUUUCUCACUAUUUAACUGUAAAACAAGCUUUAAAUGCAGGAUUGAAAAAUUCUUAAUUUUGGACAAUGUACAUGGAAAGUUGGUGGUGCUGUAGCUGGUGCUGGGCUUUACUGGAAGUUGACCACCAAAUGGCCCUGUUAGACCACAGUCCUUAUUUGUUGAAAGCUCACACAUUUAUUUGCAUGUGAUCUCAUGUUUUUUGAUAAUCAAGGAAAUGCUGUAGCUUGUUUUAGUUUACAUUUUCAAAUCAGCUUAUUUAUAUUGCCUUAGUUACAACAAAUGUCACAACAGUCACAAAAAAAUGUUUUCUUAAGAGAUUUUUAAAAAAAAGUCAAUCCAAUCAGUUAGACACAUUUAAAAUCAAUGACAUACAUUUCAAUUCGAUUCUAGUUAUAAAACAAUGCAGUCAGUUUUGAUUUAUUUUUCCGAUUGAUAAAACGUUUUCUAUCUAAGGAAACCCAGGCAACUGCAUUGACUUACUGACCUUUCUGUAAGUCAAUGCAAUCGGCUGAAUGAACAUGUAGUGGCAGUGAAUAGUCGACUGCAUUGUAUCGUUAACUUUACCGCAGUCUCUUAUACUGAGCAUGUAUGUACAACAGUGCAGAUGAAUGCCCUGUUUACAUGACAAUGAUUUCUGAUGAAAACGGAAAAGUUUAAUUGUGUUUCUCCUGUUUGUUUACACAUUUUCUCUGAAAAUGGCACAAUUUAAAAUGGGUCCCAGAGUGUAAUGGUUUGAAAAUGUCCCGUUCCACUGUUGCCGUGUAGACGGGGAAAAAAAAAUCUUUCUUCAGGUGGAAGCCCUGGCUCAUGCGCAGUAUGACUGCAAUUAGUAUAAAUUAAUGCGUAUGCGCACAAUAUAAUGGCUGCCGACCUUUUUCCAACCCCCAGAAGAUGAAGAUAUCAACAAUAACAAUGAUGGAUUGCAUGUAAAAGUCAGGUUACUGCAUUGCCUACACGAAUCCCUGUGGCAGAAGAACAAGGACCUCUCAAAGACAUUUUUUGACCAAACAAACAGCCCCAUCACUACCUGCCUGUCCACUCUCAGACUUUGUGCAAACUACCCACAGACCUCUUAAAACCACUUGGCUGCCACACCUUAAAAUACAUGGAUCAAUUGCUACCCGGAUCAUUAGCCUGCCGUUCAGCCUUCGCCUUUCCCUGAACCUGACCCAGAUGAAUAUAUUGCCUGAAGUCAUCCAUUAUUAUUGUUGUAAAUAAAUAUUUAAACUGCU